rnacentral:sRNA from 1 species
AUUCCUUGCUCCCGGCCGAGGAGCGCUCGGGCUGUCUGCGGACCCUGCCGCGUGCAGGGGUCGCGGCCGGCUGGAGCUGGGAGUGAGGCGGCGGAGGAGCCAGGAAGGCAGUUGGUGGGAAGUCCAGCCUGGGUCCCUGAGAGCUGUGAGAAGGAGAUGUGGCUGCUGCUGGCCCUGUUGGGGGUCCUGCUGAGUGUGCCUGGGCCUCCAGUCUUGUCCCUGGAGGCCUCUGAGGAAGUGGAGCUGGGAGGCUGCCUCAGAUGGGGCUGCGGGGUCUGCUGACUUCUGCCCUCUGCCCUCUGCCCACAGAGCCCUGCCUGGCUCCCAGCCUGGAGCAGCAAGAGCAGGAGCUGACAGUAGCCCUUGGGCAGCCUGUGCGGCUGUGCUGUGGGCGGGCUGAGCGUGGUGGCCACUGGUACAAGGAGGGCAGUCGCCUGGCACCUGCCGGCCGUGUACGGGGCUGGAGGGGCCGCCUAGAGAUUG